rnacentral:rRNA from 1 species
UACGGGGGGAGCAAGCGUUGUUCGGAUUUACUGGGCGUAAGGGCGCGUAGGCGGCCACCGCAAGUCGACUGUGAAAUCUCCGGGCUUAACCCGGAAAGGUCAGCCGAUACUGCGGGGCUAGAGUGCAGAAGGGGCAACUGGAAUUCUCGGUGUAGCGGUGAAAUGCGUAGAUAUCGAGAGGAACACCUGCGGCGAAGGCGGGUUGCUGGGCUGACACUGACGCUGAUGUGCGAAAGCUAGGGGAGCGAACGGG